GACGAACGCUGGCGGCGUGCCUAAUACAUGCAAGUAGAACGCUGAAGGAGGAGCUUGCUCUUCUGGAUGAGUUGCGAACGGGUGAGUAACGCGUAGGUAACCUGCCUGUUAGCGGGGGAUAACUAUUGGAAACGAUAGCUAAUACCGCAUAACAGUAGAUGUUGCAUGACGUUUACUGAAAAGUUGCAGUUGCAUGACUACCAGAUGGGGCUGCGUUGUAUUAGCUAGUUGUUGGGGUAACGGCUCACCAAGGCGACGAUCCAUAGCCGCACGGCGAGGGCGAUCAGCCAGACUGGGAGUGUGACACGGCACAGAGGCCUACGGGAGGGAGCAGUAGGGAUGCGUCGGGAAGGGACGGAAGUCUGAGCGAACAAGGCCGAGUGCGUGUAGAAGGUUUUCGGGUGGGAAAGCACGGUUGUCAGAGAAGAAAGCGUGUGCGAGUGGAAAGUUCACACUGUGACGGUAGCUGAUCAGAAAGGGACGGCUAACUACGUG
rnacentral:rRNA from 1 species